CCUGGCCUGCCAGGACCCAGAGGGAGCGGAGCACGCGCCUUUGGGAAUCUUCGGUGCGCCAAGUCUGUUCGCCGCCGGGGUCUAUCACCCCCGCCCCUCGCCUCUGCCCGUGAGCGUGUGAGUUGUAGCGUACCCUGGGGUCUGUUCUGGAGGAGGCCUGAGAGCGGGGUUGCCUGGGGCGUGGGUCUCUCAUCCCUCUCGUCCUGGUGAAGAAGAAGAGUAUACCCAGCGGCAGCUGGCUUGGCUUUUUCAGAGGAAACAGAGACUCUCAGACAUGAAUACUGUGACACUGACCACCAGGCCAACUUAACAUCAGCAGAUAUCCUGUCUCAGAUGAAGAGAUGGAGUCUCGCACUGUCGCCCCAGUUGGAGUGUAAUGGUGCGAUCUCGGCUCACUGCAAGCUCCGCCUCCCGGGUUCAUGCCAUUCUCCUGCCUCAGCCUCCUGAGUAGCUGGAACUACAGGUGCCCGCCACCACGCCCGGCUAAUUUUUUAAUGGCCUGUCCAGAAGACAGCCAAAUACAUCCUUCAAACAGACUUCACUGCAGGAGACAGAGUGGAUUCAUCCUGUAUUCUCCAUGUAGACUUCCAUCUUCAUGAGUACUCCAAGAAGAUGGUUCAGUUGACUAUUGCAAAGUCUCAGGUAUGUCUUUAUCAGCAGCAUGAAAAUGGACUAAUAGUACCAGUAGAGUGGGGCAUUGCUGAAAAGAUACCCGAAAAUGUGGAAGCAACUUUGGAACUGGGUGUUGAAAUAAUCUGGAGGGCUCAGAAGAAGAUAGGAAAAUGUAGGAAAGUUUGGAACCUCCUAGAGACUGUGAAUGGCAUUGACAAAAAUACUGAUAGUGAUAUGAACAAUAAGGUCCAGG
rnacentral:lncRNA from 1 species